UAAUCUAAAGUGAAACCGCAAAAGGCUCAGUAAACCGGUCAUAGUUUACAGGUUAAAUGCCACUUUACGUGGAUAACUGUGGUAAUUCUAGAGCUAAUACAUGCAAACCAAGUCCCGACCAGAGAUGGAGAGGACGCUUUUAUUGGAUCAAAACCAUUCGCCCGGCUCGCCCGGGCGUCUGCUUGGUGACUCUAGAUAACAUCACAGAUCGCACGGUCCUGGUACCGGCGACAUAUCCUUCAAAUGUCUGACUUAUCAGCUGUCGAUGGUAGAUUCUGUGUCUACCAUGGCUCUCACGGGUGACGGGGAAUCAGGGUUCGAUUCCGGAGAGGGAGCCUGAGAAACGGCUACCACAUCCAAGGAAGGCAGCAGGCACGCAAAUUACCCACUCCCGGCACGGGGGAGGUAGUGACAAAAAAUAACGAUACGGGGACUCAUCCGAGGCCCCGUAAUCCGGAAUGAGAACAUCCUAAAUCCUUUAACGAGGAUCUAUUGGGAGGGCAAGUCUGGUGCCAGCAGCCGCGGUAAUUCCAGCUCCAAUAGCGUAUAUUAAAGUUGUUGCGGUUAAAAAGCUCGUAGUUGGUUCUGCGUGCCACGCUGUCGGUUCACCGCCUGUCGGUGCAACUGGCAUGCCGUGGCAUGUCCUGUCGGUGGCGUGCAGGCUUCGCGGCGCUCCCUGCAUGAUACGUUGUGUAGGUCGUCGAGUAGUCCUCGUACGCCGUCUCAAUCCUGCCGCGGUGCUCUUUACCGAGUGUCGAGGUAGGCCGGCACAUUUUACUUUGAACAAAUUAGAGUGCUUAAAGCAGGCUCUUAAAUCAGCCUGAAUAGUGGUGCAUGGAAUAAUGGAACAGGACCUUGGUUCUAUUUUGUUGGUUUUAGGAAUCCCAGGUAAUGAUCAAUAAGGACAGGCGGGGGCAUUCGUAUUGCGACCUUAGAGGUGAAAUUCUUGGAUCGUCGCAAGACGCACUAGAGCGAAAGCAUUUGCCAAGUAUGUCUUAAUUGAUCAAGAACGAAAGUUAGAGGUUCGAAGGCGAUCAGAUACCGCCCUAGUUCUAACCAUAAACGAUGCCAGCCAGCGAUCCGCCGAUGUUCUUUCGAUGACACGGCGGGGAGCUUCCCCCGGGAAACCAAAGCUUUUGGGUUCCGGGGGAAGUAUGGUUGCAAAGCUGAAACUUAAAGGAAUUGACGGAAGGGCACCACCAGGAGUGGAGCCUGCGGCUUAAUUUGACUCAACACGGGAAACCUCACCAGGCCCGGACAUUGGAAGGAUUGACAGAUCGAUAGCUCUUUCUCGAUUCAGUGGGUAGUGGUGCAUGGCCGUUCUUAGUUGGUGGACUGAUUUGUCUGGUUAAUUCCGAUAACGAACGAGACUCUAACCUAUUAACUAGGCGAUACUGGUAUAUAUUACUACCAGCGAGAUUUAUUCUUCUUAAGGGGACAGGCGGCUCUUAGCCGCACGAGAAUGAGCAAUAACAGGUCUGUGAUGCCCUUAGAUGUUUUGGGCCGCACGCGCGCUACACUGAAGGAAUCAGCGUGUACCCCCUUGACCGAAAGGUCCGGGUAACCCGUUGAACCUCCUUCGUGCUAGGAAUUGGGGCUUGCAAUUGUUCCCCAUGAACGAGGAAUUCCCAGUAAGCGCGAGUCAUAAGCUCGCGUUGAUUACGUCCCUGCCCUUUGUACACACCGCCCGUCGCUACUACCGAUUGAAUGAUUUAGUGAGGUCUUCGGACCGUCGAUUAUUGGCACCGACUCGUUCGGUAUCGAUUUCGAUGGAAAGAUGACCGAAUCUUGAUCAUGAAGAGGAAGUAAAAGUCGUAACAAAGUUUCCG
rnacentral:rRNA from 1 species